rnacentral:rRNA from 1 species
CCUACGGGAGGCAGCAGUGAGGAAUAUUGGUCAAUGGACGCAAGUCUGAACCAGCCAUGCCGCGUGCAGGAAGACGGCUCUAUGAGUUGUAAACUGCUUUUGUACGAGGGUAAAUCCCGAUACGUGUAUCGGGUUGAAAGUAUCGUACGAAUAAGGAUCGGCUAACUCCGUGCCAGCAGCCGCGGUAAUACGGAGGAUUCAAGCGUUAUCCGGAUUUAUUGGGUGUAAAGGGUGCGUAGGCGGUUCGAUAAGUUAGAGGUGAAAGCCCGGGGCUCAACUCCGGCACUGCCUCUGAUACUGUCGGGCUAGAGUGUAGUUGCGGUAGGCGGAAUGUAUGGUGUAGCGGUGAAAUGCAUAGAGAUCAUACAGAACACCGAUUGCGAAGGCAGCUUACCAAACUACGACUGACGUUGAGGCACGAAAGCGUGGGGAGCAAACAGGAUUAGAUACCCUUGUAGUC